AGUGAACGCUGGCGGUAGGCCUAACACAUGCAAGUCGAACGGCAGCACAGUAAGAGCUUGCUCUUACGGGUGGCGAGUGGCGGACGGGUGAGGAAUACAUCGGAAUCUACUUUUUCGUGGGGGAUAACGUAGGGAAACUUACGCUAAUACCGCAUACGACCUACGGGUGAAAGCAGGGGAUCUUCGGACCUUGCGCGAUUGAAUGAGCCGAUGUCGGAUUAGCUAGUUGGCGGGGUAAAGGCCCACCAAGGCGACGAUCCGUAGCUGGUCUGAGAGGAUGGUCAGCCACACUGGAACUGAGACACGGUCCCGACUCCUACGGGAGGCAGCAGUGGGGAAUAUUGGACAAUGGGCGCAAGCCUGAUCCAGCCAUACCGCGUGGGUGAAGAAGGCCUUCGGGUUGUAAAGCCCUUUUGUUGGGAAAGAAAAGCAGCAGGUUAAUACCCCGCUGUUCUGACGGUACCCAAAGAAUAAGCACCGGCUAACUUCGUG
rnacentral:rRNA from 1 species